CCCUGCGCGAAUGAGCAGGGCCGUUUUUUUGACUGUAACAAGGGGGCUGCCCGUG
rfam:Erwinia amylovora ATCC 49946 chromosomal sequence.